UACAGAGACUGCAAGCGUUAUUCGGAUUCACUGGGCGUAAAGGGUGCGCAGGCGGUUGGGUGUGUCAGAUGUGAAAUCCCGAGGCUCAACCUCGGAACUGCGUCUGAAACUACUCGACUAGAGUACUGGAGAGGGUAACGGAAUUCACGGUGUAGCAGUGAAAUGCGUAGAUAUCGUGAGGAACACCAGAGGCGAAGGCGGUUACCUGGACAGUUACUGACGCUCAGGCACGAAAGCACGGGGAGCAAAAGGG
rnacentral:rRNA from 1 species